CAUAUCAUUAUUCUAGUAAUUACUAAAAUGAAUAUUAUUAAUAUAAAUAGCUAAGUAUCUAUGAAGUUUGCUUUUGGGCCAUAUACUUCAUAAUUUCAUGACUUCUGAUAUUGAACAUGGAUCUACAGAUUAUUUAAAGUAUAUAUUGUUCUAGAUUCUGUUUAGCCUUUUAAAAUUUGUCUGAAGUAUUUAACUGACAAAUCUAAUGGUUCAGUUAAGUAUGAUGUACUUUCCAGAAGAC